rnacentral:rRNA from 1 species
UACGGAGGAUGCGAGCGUUAUCCGGAUUUAUUGGGUUUAAAGGGUGCGUAGGCGGGAUGCCAAGUCAGCGGUCAAAUACGGGGGCUCAACCUGCGUCCGCCGUUGAAACUGGCGUUCUUGAGUGGGCGAGAAGUAUGCGGAAUGCGUGGUGUAGCGGUGAAAUGCAUAGAUAUCACGCAGAACUCCGAUUGCGAAGGCAGCCUGCUGGACUGUAACUGACGCUGAUGCUCGAAAGUGUGGGUAUCAAACAGG